AUUCUGCUCCACGAAGGUCAUCUCCUCUGCCAGAUUCCUCUGAUCCAGGGAGACCCUCUGCUUCUCUCUGAUUGGUUCCCGCUUUCUACAGGAGGUCCAGUGCAGCUGAAUGGUGAUGAUGGUGCAAAUCAGUAACACUGACACUGUCUCCAUCCACACCCGUCACCUCCUGUUUGUCCACUGACAGCCCUGGAGGACUUCAACACACAGUCUGCAGUACAGACAUCUUACCAUCAGUGACUGACAGAUUAACCUGAUCAGAGAGGCUCCACUGAUCUUCACACCACACCAGUACCGAUCGGAAUCCUC